rnacentral:rRNA from 1 species
AAUCUUGCACAAUGGGCGAAAGCCUGAUGCAGCGACGCCGCGUGAGUGAAGAGGUACCUCGGUAUGUAAAGCUCUAUCAGCAGGGACGAUAAUGACGGUACCUGACUACGAAGCCCCGGCUAACUUCGUCCCAGCCGCCGCGGUAAUACGUAGGGGGCAAGCGUUAUCCGGAUUUACUGGGUGUAAAGGGAGCGUAGGUGGUAGUGCAAGUCAGAUGUGAAAGCCCGUUGCUUAACAGCGGGAUUGCAUCAGAAACUGUAUUACUAGAGUACAGGAGAGGUAAGUGGAAUUCCUAGUGUAGCGGUGAAAUGCGUAGAUAUUAGGAGGAACAACAGUGGCGAAGGCGGCUUACUGGACUGUAACUGACACUAAGGCUCGAAAGCGUGGGGAGCAAACA